GAUGAACGCUGGCGGCGUGCUUAAUACAUGCAAGUCGAACGGAGAGCAGCAAUGUUCUUAGUGGCGAACGGGUGAGUAACGCGUGGGUGACCUGCCCCGAAGUGCGGGAUAACAGCUCGAAAGGGCUGCUAAUACCGCAUGUGGCCGUGCUGUUUAGAAGAGUAUGGCUAAAGGAGCGAUUCGCUUCGGGAGGGGCCUGCGUCCCAUCAGCUAGUUGGCAGGGUAACGGCCUACCAAGGCGACGACGGGUAGGGGACCUGAGAGGGUGACCCCCCACACUGGCACUGAAACACGGGCCAGACACCUACGGGUGGCAGCAGUAGGGAAUAUUGCACAAUGGGCGCAAGCCUGAUGCAGCAACGCCGCGUGCGCGAUGAAGGCCUUCGGGUCGUAAAGCGCUUUUCUGGAGGACGAGGAAGGACGGUACUUCAGGAAGAAGGAUCGGCUAACUACGUGCCAGCAGCCGCGGUAAAACGUAGGAUCCGAGCGUUAUCCGAACUCACUGGGCGUAAAGCGCGUGCAGGCGGCCCGCUAAGUUAGGUGUGAAACCUCCCGGCUCAACUGGGAGAGGACGCCUAAGACUGGUGGGCUCGAGGGUGGUAGAGGGAGGUGGAAUUCCCGGUGUAGUGGUGAAAUGCGUAGAUAUCGGGAGGAACACCAGUGGCGAAAGCGACCUCCUGGACCAUCUCUGACGCUCAGACGCGAAAGCUAGGGGAGCAAACGGGAUUAGAAACCCCGGUAGUCCUAGCCGUAAACGAUGUAGACCGGGCGUCGGUGGGGUAAAAGCCAUCGGUGCCGAAGCCAACGCGAUAAGUCUACUGCCUGGGGACUACGGCCGCAAGGUUAA
rnacentral:rRNA from 1 species